rnacentral:snoRNA from 1 species
CCUGAGUGGAUUGCCUGGGAGGUCACAUUCCAUGGGCUGUAUCCAAAUGGCACCCAGAGCAUAAGGCUCUGCCCCCCUGAUAUACAAUCCCUUUCCACAGUGUUGGAGAAUCUGGGUCUUGAGUCUGGGUCUCUACGUUCCUAGGACUUCACAAAGUCCUAUGGACAAUGACUGAGGAGACAAACCAUGUAGGAAGCAAUG